rnacentral:rRNA from 1 species
UGAGUAACCUGCCCCCUUCUUUGGGAUAACGGUCGGAAACGGCUGCUAAUACCGGGUAUUCACUGUCCUUCGCAUGGGGGGUGGUGGAAAGGUUUUUUCUGGUGGGGGAUGGGCUCGCGGCCUAUCAGCUUGUUGGUGGGGUGAUGGCUUACCAAGGCUUUGACGGGUAACCGGCCUGAGAGGGUGACCGGUCACAUUGGGACUGAGAUACGGCCCAGACUCCUACGGGAGGCAGCAGUGGGGAAUAUUGCACAAUGGGCGAAAGCCUGAUGCAGCGACGCCGCGUGAGGGAUGACGGCCUUCGGGUUGUAAACCUCUUUCGCUCAUGGUCAAGCCGCAACAAUGGUUGUGGUGAGGGUAGUGGGUAAAGAAGCACCGGCUAACUACGUGCCAGCAGCCGCGGUAAUACGUAGGGUGCGAGCGUUGUCCGGAAUUAUUGGGCGUAAAGGGCUUGUAGGCGGUUUGUCGCGUCUGCCGUGAAAUCCUCUGGCUUAACUGGGGGCGUGCGGUGGGUACGGGCAGGCUUGAGUGCGGUAGGGGAGACUGGAACUCCUGGUGUAGCGGUGGAAUGCGCAGAUAUCAGGAAGAACACCGGUGGCGAAGGCGGGUCUCUGGGCCGUUACUGACGCUGAGGAGCGAAAGCGUGGGGAGCAAACAGGAUUAGAUACCCUGGUAGUCCACGCCGUAAACGUUGGGCACUAGGUGUGGGGAACAUUCCACGUUUUCCGCGCCGUAGCUAACGCAUUAAGUGCCCCGCCUGGGGAGUACGGCCGCAAGGCUAAAACUCAAAGGAAUUGACGGC